rnacentral:rRNA from 1 species
GACGAACGCUGGCGGCGUGCCUAAUACAUGCAAGUCGAACGCUUCUUUCCUCCCGAGUGCUUGCACUCAAUUGGAAGAGGAGUGGCGGACGGGUGAGUAACACGUGGGUAACCUACCCAUCAGAGGGGGAUAACACUUGGAAACAGGUGCUAAUACCGCAUAACAGUUUAUGCCGCAUGGCAUAAGAGUGAAAGGCGCUUUCGGGUGUCGUUGAUGGAUGGACCCGCGGUGCAUUAGCUAGUUGGUGAGGUAACGGCUCACCAAGGCCACGAUGCAUAGCCGACCUGAGAGGGUGAUCGGCCACACUGGGACUGAGACACGGCCCAGACUCCUACGGGAGGCAGCAGUAGGGAAUCUUCGGCAAUGGACGAAAGUCUGACCGAGCAACGCCGCGUGAGUGAAGAAGGUUUUCGGAUCGUAAAACUCUGUUGUUAGAGAAGAACAAGGACGUUAGUAACUGAACGUCCCCUGACGGUAUCUAACCAGAAAGCCACGGCUAACUACGUG